AUAGUGGGGACUCAUAGGAGACUGCCGGGGUCAACGCGGAUGAAAGUGGGGAUGAGGUCAAAUCAUCAUGGGCCUUAUGUCUUGGGCUUCACGCAUGCGACGAUUGCCAGUAGAAAGGGNUGCUAUACCGCGAGGUGUAGCGAAUCCCAAAAAACUGGUCACACUUCGGAUUGGGGUCUGAAUCUCGAACCCAUGAANUCGGAGUCACUAGUAAUCGGGGAUCAGCAACGCUGCGGUGAAUACGUUCCCGGGCCUUGUGCACACCGCCCGUCAAGUCACGAAAGUCAGUAACAGCCGAAGCCGGUGGCACAUCCCCUUGUGGGAGGGAGCCGUCGAA
rnacentral:rRNA from 1 species